rnacentral:sRNA from 3 species
AGGCACCACGCGUGCACGGCGGUUACUUCGCGCCGGCCGCACCCCAACUGGCGGCGGCUCGCGACGUCUUGUCAGCC